rnacentral:rRNA from 1 species
AGAGUUUGAUCAUGGCUCAGAACGAACGCUAGCGGCGUGCUUAACACAUGCAAGUCGAGUGCGCGGUUGUAGCAAUACAACUGGCGCACGGCGCACGGGUGCGUAACACGUGGGUAACCUGCCCUUUGGUGGGGAAUAACUCCGCGAAAGCGGAGCUAAUUCCGCAUAAGAUCCGCAAGGAUGAAAACCGCAAGGCGCCGAAGGAGGGGCCCGCGCCCGAUUAGCUAGUUGGUGAGGUAAUGGCUCACCAAGGCUUUGAUCGGUAGCUGGUCUGAGAGGAUGAUCAGCCACACUGGAACUGAGACACGGUCCAGACUCCUACGGGAGGCAGCAGUGGGGAAUCUUGCACAAUGGGCGAAAGCCUGAUGCAGCGACGCCGCGUGGGGGAUGAAGCAUUUCGGUGUGUAAACCCCUUUCGAUCCGGACGAAACCCCGCAAGGGAUUGACGGUACGGAUAUAAGAAGCCCCGGCUAACUACGUGCCAGCAGCCGCGGUAAGACGUAGGGGGCCAGCGUUGUUCGGAAUUACUGGGUGUAAAGGGUUCGUAGGCGGUGCGGCAAGUUGGGAGUGAAAUCUCUGGGCUUAACCCAGAGGCUGCUUCCAAAACUGCUGUGCUUGAGUGUGGGAGAGGCGCGUGGAAUUGCAGGUGUAGCGGUGAAAUGCGUAGAUAUCUGCAGGAACACCCGUGGCGAAAGCGGCGCGCUGGACCACUACUGACGCUGAGGAACGAAAGCUAGGGGAGCAAACAGGAUUAGAUACCCUAGUAGUCC